UGACAAUAGAAGUGUUGUUAAUAAUGGAGAAAUAUAAGGAACCUAGCUCAAAUAGAAUGAAAGUUGCCAGUCUAACUUUCUCAAGCGAUGAUGGGAAAACCAAGAGCACUAACAGGAUGGGAUUGAACUUGAAGGAGGGACUUGCCCAACGCGAUAAAUGCAAGGAGCUUGAUGAGAUCUGUUGUGAUUGUGAUUGAAUGGCCCCUAGAUACACAUAGUACCUUCACUAGAAAAUGGAAUGCACGUUGGCGAAGUAUGUUUGAAAUGCCCUGAUUUUGAGAUGUGCAUCACUGGCGAUCCUCGUCCGACCCCACAUGAUGGGAGGUGCUCUGCAGCUGCCAAAAUGAUAUUGGAGCUUGGCAAGAAGGCGGAGGAAAAAG